rnacentral:rRNA from 1 species
UGAAAAUUUAAAUUACUAAGCUUAGGUAGUAUUAGUUAAGAUCUUGAAACUUAAAGAAUUUGGCGGUAUUUUAGUCUAUUUAGAGGAAUCUGUCCCAUAAUCGAUAAUCCACGUUGAAACUAACUUAUUUUAAUGGAAUUUGUAUACCGCCGUUUAAUGAAAAUCUUUUUAGAGUGAAAAUUUUCUAAAAAUUUAAUUUUAUAGGAUUUCAGGUCAAGGUGCAGUUUAUAGAUAAGGGGAGAUGGAUUACAAUAUUAUAAUUUAAAUGGAAUAUGAAUUGUAAUUUUUAUAUGAAGGUGGAUUUAAUAGUAAUGUUAUAUAGAUUGUUAUUAUGAUUUUAGCUCUAAAAUGUGU